rnacentral:lncRNA from 10 species
CUGUUUCCAUUUGGUGGGAAGCCUUAAAUUGAUCUGGAAAGAAUUCUUCAUUUUUCAUUUGUGCUUUUUUAAAAAAAAAAAUAACACAAAGAGGAAAACUAGAAUAUAUAUAUAUAUAUACAUAUAUAUAAAAAGUCAAAAUUGUAAUAACUGACCCAUUUCAAAGACUGUUUGGUGCUUCUGUCUUUCACCAUUGUGGUUGGCUGAAAAUCAUUCAGCUCACCUGGUGCAUCUGGGUUGAAUGGGAAAUUUUGUGUGUGUAGUAUGUGUGUGUUUGUGUGUGUAUGUGUGUGUGUGCCCAUAGCACACGUAUAUAUGUGUGUGUCCCUGCUGCAAAGUCUUGCCAGAGAUAUACAAAACUGAUGUAAGACGAACUUGGAUCACGGCUUGGUUCAGCAGAGCAUGGGGGCGGGGGCUCUGGAGUGGUGGGGAAGUGAUGCUGCCUGCCCACGAGCCCUGGUUUGGGUGGCAAGACUCACACCAGCAGCGGACUGCAGGCCUUAGAGGCCAUGCCAUUUGGGUGAGGAUUUGAUUCCACUGUUUAUUUUCUCAUUGUAUCAAGUUGAAUUUCUGCAGGUGUUGCAAGUAUGUUCAACGAUUUAAAUUUUUUUUUAUUUUUCAAAGUAUUGUUCCUUUAAAGAAUAUUUCUGUUCUAGGGCAUCGUUUCAAUCGCAUCGUAUCUCUACUUGGGCACAAAAAAAAAGGAAAAGAAAAAAAAUCACAAAAAAGAUAUAUAAUAAGUAUAUAUAUAUAUAUAUAUAUAAACACACACAAUAUUUUUAAGUAAAUACUGUUAGUCUUUGCUGUGUGUAGCUGCGAUUUUUUUUCCCAAAUAUAUACCUGUUUAGGGUGCAAGACCUCACGUUGAACUAUUCUCAACAGAAGUUCAAUAACUGAGGGUUUUUUAAAUGUUUGUGGAGUUUUGUUUUUUUUUAAAUAAAAAACAAUUAUUAUUCAGCGAGGCUUCUCCUUCCCACCACCUUCAUUGUUUAUCUAAAACCUUUUUUGUUUUAAGAACAAGUUUCAAAUAUCAGUUGUGAAACUCUAUGCUCUCUUCUUUGUCUGGACUUCCUAGACUUCAUGCGUCCUUACUAAGCAUCGUGGUGCUGUCCUCUCCCCGUCCCUGACUCGGGGGUCCCCUCGGGCCUCACUGGUGGGCAGGUGGAGGAGGAGCCCCCAACUCUAGGAAGCAGGACGAACAGAGCACACGCAGGCAGCAGUGAAAACCAGCCAGGAGGGCUCGGCGCGCCCAUUAAAGGGACCCGCCCGUGGGCCCCUGGAGAGUCACCUGGGAGUUGGAAUCUAGUCAGAGGCACUUUUCUGAACCGCACCAGCGUGCUGCCUUGCAAGGGCUUCACGCCUGAGCUGCACAGUGUACUCUGCUAGGCUGGGAAGGUGAGGCCAUUGGAGGGUGGGGCAUCCGCUUUAGCUGGGGGGGUCCCACCUCUUGUCUGCUUCAGGUCUGGGGCUCUGUGCACCUGGAACUGGCCCAUGUCUGUCCUUUGCGCAUCUUCCUUGAAAUGCCCUCAUGCAUCCCCUCGGGACUUCUGCCACUUUUGCUUGUGUGUCUGUUCUUGGAUUUCUUUCUUUCUUCUUUCUUUUUGUUUCAGCGCAGUCACGGGUUUUAAUUCACCACCUCUAUUUCACUCUUGCACACUUAGUGUGUGUGUGUCCGUGUGUGUGCAUCCUGCCACGUUUACAUGCAACUUACAAAGAGAACGGUGGAUGCUGAGCUGACCGGGAGCACCAGGAGUUGGGAUGGCAACUUCCAAAUCAGGGAGGGCCUCCAGGGUCUUAGCCACUAGGAACAAAUGAGGAGAUCACGGGACAUUUCAGCAAUCUUUAAUUUCACACUUCUCACUUGAAAAGGCACCCUCGCCCCUCUCUGGAACCCCUCCAUCAUGCCAGUACUUUCUUCACAAAGAAAAUGAAAAUAUGCAUCUGUGAGCAGCAGCAGGGAAAGCUGGUUUUGCAGAGAUGCAGGAAAAGGAAGAAAAGCAAGGAAAGAAGUAGAGAGCAAGGCAGGGAAGGGGCAGGGGAGACCUGAUGGCAAGGACCAGGCCAGAGCUGUCCUCAGUGUCCUCUUGUCAUCAGCCUCUAGCAGCUCCCCACACUCCCAGCCACCGUAAAACUCUCUGGCCUCAUCUCCCCUGGGGUCUUCUCUUCCCCCCAGGCCCUUCCCCUUCCAGUGACUGGUCCUGGGCAUCCAGGCAGGAUUCCAUACACACUCAGUGCUGAGACCACCUGGGGAAUGUGUCUCCAGACCCAGAUGACUUUGGUCCUGAAAGCCCGGAUCCUUAAGGCCGCCCCGUGACAGGGUCACUCUUUGUCCCACAUUGGACAUUAAAUGCCCAAUGUCCCAUAUUUUUCAUUUGCCUCAGUCCUUGACAACCCUCUAGGGCUGCUGCUUCAGUUGCUUCCCAGAGGAAUGCCUGUGAUGUUUUUAGGUUUUUUAAAAAUUUUAAAUCUCUGGGCCCAUUUCUUUCCCAGGACCCCCUGAUGAAAAAUAAUCCAUUUCCAGUAUUUAGGCCUGGUAAGCACGUUGGUGCCCAGAGAUGGAGAAUACAAAAACUAUCUCCUUUUCAUUCCCUAAUGACCCCCCCAUCAAGUAUGCCCACUAAGACCCGUAUUUUAUUCCUCUAACCACGUAGAACAUUUGGCUUUUACUUUUUCUUCCCAGAAAUUUGGUAGUAUCGCUAAACUAUAACUAAUGGUGUUAGAGUCGUUUCUGCAAACUCUGCUUCUCCCUUGCUCAGCAGGUCUGCCUCUUCUCCCAGCCUCUGUGUAAAAGGAAACUUCAGUCCCCUCAGAUGACAUUAGGAUAAUGUGCCCUGAGUUCACUGCCUGAAGCCUGUGACAUCCGGAAUGGGAGCUCCCUGUCUCUUAAGGCCAUGAUGAGGGGUGCUAGGGAGGCUUCAGUCCAUCAGAUCAACCCCCUCUGGCCUCACUCACCCUAAAGCUUCCCGUGUCUCUAACACUCUCCUGCACUCUGCCUCUGGAAGGUGUCACCUGGUUCUGCAGGGUCGGGCUUGUCCCAGCAACAUGGGUACCAGGAUACUGGUAGGACACUCACCCAAGCAGAUCUGCGGCCAGAACGAAAGAGGCGCCAUCUCCCUUGCCCAGACAUGCCGCCGUCACAACACAGCCUUGGGCAGGGAAGACGACAUUUCCCCAUGGCCUGGGGAUCCCCCACACCACACCUCCCCAGGCACAGAAUCAUUCAAGACCCGAUGGUUCUCAUGGCUCUAACCCAGUCCCUCCCCAGCCGUGGCCCCUCUGAGUCCCAUGAUCCUGUCUGGCCCGUGGUCAUGAAGGUGAUUCCCCUGGCUCGGGGGCAUCUCAUGCCACAG